AGCUAGUUGACGAGUCCCAAAUAGGACGAAAUGCACAUCUUGGAU
rnacentral:hammerhead_ribozyme from 1 species